UUGGGACCCUUUUGAGGGCUUCCCUUUGUCAAGCUCGGUAGUCAAUAUCCCAAGCUCUGCCCGCGAAACUUCUGCAUUUGCAAAUGCUCGCAUAGACUGGAAAGAGACUCCAGAGGGCCAUGUAUUCAAGGCCGAUCUUCCUGGGCUGAAGAAGGAAGAGGUGAAGGUGGAGGUUGAAGAAGGUGGAGUGCUCCAGAUAAGUGGAGAGAGGAGCAAAGAGCAAGAGGAAAAGAAUGAUAAGUGGCAUCGCGUGGAGAGGAGCAGCGGCAAGUUCCUCCGCCGGUUCAGGCUGCCGGAAAAUGCAAAGACGGAUCAGGUGAAGGCUAGCAUGGAGAAUGGUGUGCUCACUGUCACUGUGCCUAAAGAGGAAAUAAAGAAGC
rnacentral:lncRNA from 1 species